GACUCCGAAAAAUCGCUCGCGAGGAAUGCGGAUUCGCGCCUCGAUGUCGAUGUGACUAUUCCGACAGGACGUCGAUUUUUGCGACCGGAAAUUAUCUCACUCCAUUCCACGCGUUCGUCACCGUAGCGGGAGAGUUGCGAGAAGCGAGCAGAUAACGAGUGUGUAAAGCACAGAGGAAAAAGGGAGAAAGCUAGAAUCGGAGCCAGGUAUAUAGGAGAGAGAGAAAGAAAGAGAGAAAAAGAGAGAGAAUCGCAAAGUUAGAAAGAGGGGAAUGGAGGGAUAACCUAACUUGAGAAGGAAAGAGAUAGAGAGAGAAAGAAAGAGAGAGAGAGAGAGAGAGCGGACCAUUCGCGCGCGAGUCGACGUGGCCGCGUCGUUUAAUCGCAAGGGAGUGCGCGUGAGAGAGAGAUAAACGCGCAUUCGCGCGAAUCGUGCCGUCGAGUCGCAUCGUCAAAAAGGGCACCGCCGUCGUCGUCGCCACGCGCGAAAGCGACGACGCGUCGGAUACUUUGAGCCGUCGCCGAACGCGACGCGACUCCACGCAACGCGGCGUCGCGACGCGAGGCACCGCGCAGUGCGCAUACAAGCACCCUCUGGCGCUCCCUCAACCCUCGUCGUGUGCGAGACGAGUGUUGGUCGUUUCGCGCAAAGUUUUCGGACGGCUCGACGCGAAGCAUCAUUACGAGGGGCGCGCGCGGGGAUGCGAGCAAAUUGAAUCGAGAAGGAAAAAGAGAGAAUAACGGAACGCUCUGGAAAGGUGUUUAACCCUCGAGACGAUCAGCGACUACUCUCGCCUGGGUGUUCUCGUGUUCCUGUCGACAAUCACGAAGACGACGAAGACGACGAUGGGCGCGACGAUACCUCGGCUGCGGCAACGAUAGAAGAGAUAGCGGAAUCCCUUGGAGCGAUAGUGGUGCGAAUCCCCCUCCGUCGUCAGCUGGGGAAACGAUUGUCGUGGGUGUAACUGUUCGGGAGACGAUCGACUGCGUGGGCGUCGCGGCGGCCGUUAGAGGCGCGCCGAGGAGCGCCAUUGUCGUGUCGGCUGCCACGUGAAUCGCGCGAACGUUCGCGAGCGUCCGCGAACGAACUUUUCCGGAGAGGAGGGCGAUCUUGGGACGGCGAUCCGAUGCCCGAUUGUGUAUGAACGCGCUUCGUCAUCGCUCAUCGAGCAUGUCUUUUGCGGACGCGACAGGAUCCAGUUAACGAGACGACGAUUCAUCUCCGCGGAUAUUAAUAAUUGGGAUGGCGCAUCGCCUCGCUGCAGUGUUAUCCGGAAGAUAACGGAGAGGAUCCGUCAUACGAGGACGCCGACGUCUUUUGACAACCGCAGCGCUACCAUACGUGUCUGAUACCGCGCGUAGAUCGAGCCACGAAGUCCUAUUUAUCUUUAACGUCGGCAACCCAGUGACCCGUUUUCGUUUUCAAUCGAUGCGGUUUUACAGAAUUUCCAAGAGAAGCAGCCAUUAUCUAGUGAUCAUCUUACAUUCAUCACUCCGAGUGUGCAGACCCGCGUUGAUCAAAUAGCACACAGCUGUCACUUUCGUCCCGCGAUCGAGCAAUCUCGCUUUAUUGGAGCGCCCGAGUGGAUUUAUCAAAGGUGAAGCGGUACUCGGUUAGCCCCUCCUCGCGAACCGACGCCGAGGAGGAUCCGGUUGUUCAGCGCGAGGAGGGUUGCGUGUCGUACGCUUGCAAGAAACAGUGUAUCGUUCGAUGGUGCAUUCGGGAAGCGCAACGCGUGAGGCUGGGCCGCAAGAGAGAAUGCGAGAGCCUCCUCACAGCCUGUGAACAUGAUUUGUCAUACACAUGCGACGGGCGGUAAUCGUACGACGAGAGACACCGACGACGACGACGACGACGACGACGACGACGAAGAGGAGCGCGACUAUGCCGCGAGCACGCCGUACGCUUGCCUGAGACCAGCUCGACUGCUACUACUACUGCCCUAUUGCAGUAUCCCAAAGCAUCAGCAUCAGCAGCAGGGAAGAAAGCCCGUAUCGCGCCGGACAUCGCUCAGCGCAGCCGAGUCUAAGAACGUGCACCUUCUAUCGUUAUCUCGUAGUACAGAGGAGGCUAACCCGAAGUCAUCGACCACGACGGAGGUGGUGUCGCGUCGCGAUUGGCGCAAGCCACGAGUGCAACGUUCGAGUGGCGAGUCGACGACGACGGUGGUGCAAUCGCGACGACGACGACGUAACUCUGGUGCGGUCGCGUUUCCGCGUCGCGGUGCGGUGGUGCGGUCAACGGGUGUCGGAUGACUUCCCCAGGACGAAAGCCGCGCUUCGUAGUAGUCGUAGAAGGUUAUUAUACAUCCCGGUCAUCGCCGUAUCCCGCGUCGACGACGAUCGUCGUAGAGAAGAAACGCGGAGGGAGCGUAGGCCCCGUCGGUAUUACGGCAACGUCCCGUCGACGUCGGCGUCGUCGGUGGUGCGCCGGCCUGCCUCGCACCCGCGUCAUACCCACGUCGUAUACCCCGUGCACGCGCGUACACCGCCAUCGUGAUGGCGGAGCUACCUCAGCCUGACAUGUCGCAUCUCACCCCGGAGGAGAGGCGCAUCAUAGAGGGUGUUUUAAUGCGCCAAAAGGAGGAAGAGGAACAGGAUCAUGAGAUUAUGAGGCGAAAGCAAGAUGAGGUGCAAGUCCUCGAAGAAACGAUACGGAUGCGUUCGGAAAAACACAAAAAGGCAGGUGUGGAGCUGAACGCUACGUGUCAUAUAUGCUUGAAAACCAAGUUCGCCGACGGCGUCGGCCACAUCUGCAACUACUGCGACAUCCGGUGCUGCGCACGCUGCGGCGGAAAGGUCACUUUACGGUCAAGCAAGGUGAUAUGGGUGUGCAUACUUUGCCGGAAGAAGCAGGAACUUCUUUCGAAGACCGGACAAUGGAUGUCGAAGGCGAGCCUCAGCACCGUGGACAGCGCGCUGCUGCGACAAAUGCAGGAGGACUUGCAGGUGGGUGGUCGUCAGGGACUCGCGGACCAAACUCGGGAUAAAAGACCGAAACUCGAGAGGGCGCACAGCGCGGCUGAGAAAGAGAAUUUGCCGUUAUUACAGAGAAGCGGAAACUGUCCUCUCAGGAGACAGUACUCCCAGCAAGAGCAGAUCUCGGGUCGUCGUAUGUCCACGAGCGACAGUGGGGUGGAAAUGUCCGUUUCGCCACACUCGAGAAGUUUACCAACGCCUCACAUGGUUGGUUCUUACCCGAUGCAACAAACUCCGAGACACCCUGCAGUCUAUCCUGAUGACGAUCCCAAUUUAUACCGAGGCGAACUCGAUGGUCUGAUGAGACAACAUCCGCAAAACUAUCAGAGGCAACGGUCGACUUAUCAAGAUCAGAGCGCGGAUCUUGGGAUGACUUAUGGCCAAACACCGAUGGAGACUGGUUCCGUUCGUACUACAGUACAUCCCUCUCAGCAGCAUUCGAUGCAUCAAACACAGAGCGGACGUUCCGCGCAAUCUGCGUCAACAGUGGGCGUCCAGCAACAAAGAAGUUUCAGUAGUAGCGAAGAGGAACGUAGCACACCGGAGUGCGCCAGUGACGAGCCGGACGAGUCGGAGAAAGGGCAAAAACCGCCGCAGCUAGUGAUGACUUCCAGGGGCUCGCGGGAGAAGGUGGCAGACAGAAUGAAUCGGCAAUUCCCCGCGCACCCAUUGUCCUGGCAAGUGAGUGAGGACGGUCAGAAGAUCAUCGGCCACAUGGUUUUGCGAAAAUCGGCCGGUUCCGGAAGCUGCAGUAGUAUACUCGGGCUAAAAGUUGUCGGUGGCAAGCUACUGGAAGACGGUUCCAGAGGCGCUUUGAUCGAGAAGGUGAAAAAGGGUAGUACGGCGGACGUAGAAGGUCAACUUAGACCCGGUGACGAGGUGAUCGCGUGGAACGGCAGGUCCCUGCAGGGUAAAAGCUUCCGGGAAGUUUACGACAUCAUCACCGAGUCGAGGCUGGAGCCGCAAAUCGAGCUCGUAGUUGAGAGAAAAUUGACGACCACAGGCAUGACGCCUGCUGGACCGGGCCCGUCAACGCCUAUGGCGUCCAGGCGAGUUGUCGCUCAGAGCCAGUGGCGACAGAAACACGAGACCAUCUCCGGAUCACAGCCACAUCACAAAGGUCUUAAGAAAUGUAUUCUAUGGGAGUUGUACGACGCGAGGCGUGAGAAACCCUCGGUUUUAGUGACGUCACCCGGCUCGCCGGACCUGCAUGCCCAAGGACGCGGUCGACACUCCCGACAUCCAACCGGAAAUGCGAACGUGGGCGGCAGCAUUCAGGUGAAGCUGGGUUUCGAUCCCGUGGGACUUCAGCUGAUCGUCACGAUUAUUUGUGCCGCGGGACUCACACCGAAGAGCAACGGCCAGCCGAGAAAUCCUUACGCCAAAAUCUUUCUGCUUCCUGACAAAAGCGAAAAAUCGAAGCGGCGUACGAAGACCGUGGCGAAUACAAACGAUCCUAGAUGGAAUCAGACUUUCGUUUAUAACGGAGUCAGACGCUCGGAAUUGAGGAAAAGGGCAUUGGAGAUUACGGUCUGGGACUACGCGAGGUACGAGGCGAACGAUUUUCUCGGCGAGGCUGUCCUGGAAUUGGCAGUAUGUCUCUUAGACGAGGAACCAGAAUGGCAUUCUCUGACCGCUCACGGAGAACACCGGCUCGUCAGGCAUUACCAAGAUUCUGAUGACGUGCUAGAUCAUCAUCUCAGUCCACCGUCGACUACUUCGAGAUUAAGUGACUCCGACACCUCGGAAUGCGAUAUUACGGACUGCGACGUGUCGAGGGAACAAAGAAGAACAGCUGACGGUGCCAGCAUAAGUAGUAUCGGCAGUUCCUCUAGGUUUCAUAAUAUGCCGUCAAAUUAUAAGCGCCACUAUUCUAGCCCGCCACCGGAGAGAGAACUCUGCGUCGAUGGCGAGCAUCGGAGUCGAAGGGACAUGUCGCCUCAAGGACGUAAAAGGGCGGCCCUUAUGAUUUCUCGCGACCAGCCAGCUACCAUCGGGUCCGGUUAUCAGACGUACCGUAAGGAUGACAUCCAUCGAGGAAUGAUGGGUCAUAGGUCACACAGCGCAGCGCCUAUGGAUUCUCCGAGCGUCAGAUAUCGAGGAAGAUCUCAGAGUCCCACCGGUCAUCGUUCCUUGUCUCCGCCUGAGCAUAGAUCCAUUCCCUACUCGCAUGGAUACAUCCAUACGACGAGAUUCGGCUCGAGAUCGGCAACUGCCACUCCCACUGGAUCGCCAAAGAAACGUCAGCUACCUCAAAUCCCGGCAGCCUUGAAGGAAAGAGUCGCACAAGAUCUAGAAGAACGGGCAAGAUUCAUGAGACAUCGUAACAGACAGUCGAUAUACAGAAGCACAGGCAUGGGAGGAUGGGAAAGGCAUUAUAGUGGUCUUUCGGACUCGGAUCUUCCCUCAAUUGGACACGAUCCAUUAACAUUGUCACACAGUCACGCUUACAGGAUGCACAGACCGAGGAAGGGACAUUUGAGUCCCGAUAAAGAUGUACUCGGUGAUCUCGGUGAUUCUGAUAUGGAGAGCAUAGCUUCAGUAACGAGCAGUGCCUUUAGUACACAAUCGGAACGACCACGUGGAUCAAGAGCACUAAUGCCAGGAUCCGUCGGUCUGCUAUCGCGCCGGGCCAAGAGUUUCGAGUACGAGAGCAUUUCGAGCAACAUAUUCAGCGAUGACAGUCUCAGGACCGCCCGGAGAAAGCUCAAGCGGAAUCUCUCUCUCAGCGACGCCGGCUACGGCGACAAGAUACCGGCGCUGGGCGAUCAGAGCAAGUCCUACUACGAUUCUAACGGCGAUGACAAAGUGCCUACAAAUCUCGCGAGUAAAAAAACGAAUUAUGAUUUUCUUCUCCAAGAUCAUAAACCGUUUUACGGAUACGACUCGGAGCUCAGUUGUGGCGAGACGGAAAUUUACGUUCCAAGUUUCGAUAAGCGAGGCAUCGACGAUUAUCAAUCCACAUACAGUUCGCGUUUAGCGGACAGCGAGCGAUCCAAUCUGAGGAAUGUGUUGGAUCUGGACGAUACCAGCAAGAGAAAAUACGUAGACGAUAGUUAUUUGAAUCACGAAUCUUCGUACCUCAGAGAUAUAUCCUCGGAGAAAAAGAUCAAGAAUGUAGAAAGUGAUCUUUGUAAUACGAUCGGCGAUCAUAUCUACUGUAACAUCGAAGAGGUUCUGUCGUCUGGUAAAAAUUAUGAUCGCAAUAUUCUCGCGAAAUCCACCUCGAAGGUCCAUGAUAUCUCUAACGAUGAGAAGUGGAUGUCGCAAGAUUCCAAAGAUAUCCUGCGAUCAUACGGAGAAACUGGCAGUUCCUAUCAAAGAGAUAAAUACAAAGAUUACGAGAACUGGGAUACUGAUUACGACGAAGGAUUCAUAGAACGAGAGAAAGUUGAUGAUUACGAGCAGAGGCGAUUCGAUUAUCUAAAUGAAAGUAUUCGAGACUUAAGAAUUGGCGGAUCGAUAUACGACGACGAGUACUAUCAGCGAAAACAUUACGCACAGUCCGAUGAUGACGGUGGAAAGCUUACAUCGACAAGCGAUUACAUCAGUUAUCGUCCCCUCGACGAAUACGAGUCUUCUUCGUCUACCGUGCCGCGAAGACGAAGACGAAGAAGCAGAAGAGGCAGUAGAGAGGCUGACUAUGAAAGUCCGCGUGCCAGAGACAUUCAGUUGAGAGCAGACAAUAAGAGACUGAUGAUUCAACGAACCGAAUCCACGCCGAUUCUACACUCGGACGAGGACCUAAGCUCGAUUGCGGAUCGCACCAGACGCAUGUACCGCCGCAAGCGAAAUAGCAGCUGUCCAGAGAGCAGAGAUUUGCGAAUACACGGCACACGAAGAGAUGACGAAAGGACGUCGAGUUUCGUGCUGGACUCUGACGAGGAAUUCGGCUCUGUGGAGACAGUCGUCGGCGCCGAUCAUUUCCGUCAGAUCACUCCCUCGGGCUUCGUGGCGGAGACUAGAGCGAAAGGGCGAUCGGGCUUCCUCGACGCGGAACAAGAUCGUGAUAGCUACUUAUUAGACGCAAGACACGAUUAUAAGAAUUAUUAUCAGGAUAAUCGCACUUAUGCGGAGGUCACUCGCGAACUAGUUAGGUCAGGGUCGCAGCGUUCCUCGGGUCGCGAGGCCCGACAUGCAUCGUCGCGCGCUAGGCGUAAGAGUAGUUGCCCCGAGUGUCGCGAGCUGUCCUCCUCGGAGUUAGGUAGGUCGGGAUCGCUGUCGCGAAAGGUCGACGACACUCGGCGGUCAUCGAUCGAGUCGAAGCAUAGAUAUCGUAGGCGAAACAGCAGCUGUCCAGAGGCUAGGGAUCUCGAACUACUCGACAAGAGGCAGUGGCAGCAACAACAGCAGCAGCAACCGCUUGCGCAGCGUCAUCAGCAGCAACAGCAGCAAAGGCGUCUAAGUCAGCAGCAACAAAACCAACAUCAACAACCACAGGGAAGUAGUAAGAGGAACGUGGCGAUCAGCGACACCCUCGAGUACUACGAGUACUCGAUGGAGAGCGAGAGCCAGUGCAGCGAGAACUGCGGAUUUGGCCCGUGCGAUCCGCGUAGGCCCCGUAACCGAGCACCCCGCCCUGGUAACGCUAAUUCGAGUCUCUUUGAUUCCCAAACCGCUACCUCCGACACUGCUAAAAACUACCACCCACGGGUCGACGAUCAUCAUCACCACCAACACCCACAAAACAAAACGUCGCCGCACGUCGCUAAUGUGACGUACCUACCGCCGCGGCCACCGUUGUCCUCUACCCGGCGACGAUCCUUCCGAAAAAAAUCUGUCUACGACGUCGAUGUUGACACCCCCGUCGAUCGUCGCGACGAUGAUGAUGCACGGACUCGUCGUUCUUCGUCCAUGCCCGAAAGCAGCGAGUACAGCAGCGGCCAGUCGAGCUCGUACGAGAAGACAUCCAGACAUCAGGUCACCGACAACGGGCAUGAUGGGCACGACAAGAGAAGCCAGUUUACUAGAAGCCUCAGUAAUGCCGAUGUGCCGCAAGAUGAGAAAGACACGGGUAGUUUUAGCGACACGGCGAUCGCAUUGAACGUUGAAGAUGCUUCGAAGCGAGGCCGUAAAAGUUCGCCAGGAAGUAAAAGUGGAAGCGGCAGUAGCAGCGGAAGCGCGGUGCAGUAUCAAACGGGUCUCGGAAAAAAGAGCAACAGCACCAGCCAAUUAUCUGCGACAGAGUGCGGCGGGAUGAUCAUCGGUGGCGGCGGCGGCGGCGGCGCCGUGGCACGCGGUGCCGGUUUAGCGAGCCGGAAGCGCAACAGCACGCCGAGCAGCAUACAACGAUCCGAGGAGAUCAUGCCGACCUAUCAGCGCUUUGACAGCAAACAGGCGGGAUCGGCAGCCAGCGAUACCGCCGGAAGUCUCAACUCGAUCUCUAGUUCCGAAGGAAGCUCCUGGUCUCCGAGUCUGCGGAUGGCAGGCGAAGGGCAGUUGAGAGAUUUCAUCGAAGAUCUUGGACCGGGCCAAGUGGUCGGGAGGCAGGCGCUCGGUGCCCGUUGCCUCGGAGAGAUUCAACUGUCAUUGAGCCACACGAAGGGUUAUCUGGAAGUAGAGGUCAUACGUGCCAAAGAUCUUAAAGCGAAGCAAGGCAGCAAAGCAAUACCAGCUCCUUAUGUAAAACUGUACCUAGUGAACGGUAAAAGAUGCAUAGAGAAAGCGAAAACCAUGAUGGCCAGAAAAACGUUAGAUCCGUUCUAUCAACAAUUGUUAGCUUUCAAGGAAAACUGUCGGGGCUGCAUAUUACAGGUGACGGUGUGGGGCGACUACGGUCGGAUAGAAGGGAAAAAAGUGUUCAUGGGCAUUGCACAGAUCGUAUUGGAUGAACUGGACCUCAAUCAGAUGGUGUUCGGAUGGUACAAGCUGUUUGACACCCAAGCCCUGGUCAGUGGAGCUCCAUCCCUUGCUUUGUCCCGUCGAUCUUCGGCCACGUCUCUCGAUUCUUUUAAAAUCUAAAAGAAUGACUGUCCGAAGAACGUACCAAAAUAAUUCCUUUCACACAUGUAUUUAACGAGGAGAUGUUUGAGUUUCUUACAGUAGCGCAAAGUAGAGCAAAAACACUAGAUUGAGUUCGAGCUCCUAUCUCGCGGUGCACCUAUAGUCGCUUCCACUAUUUUAAUAGGAUACCGAAAUGCACGAGUCUCGAUGUAUAUAAGGUAGUAUCAUAUUUACUGAUAAACAAUUAGAGAGAUUGAAAGUGAAAAUUGUAAACAUUUUUAACAUCUUAAAUGACAUGCGGAAAAUCAUCGUUUGAUGAUAUUAUGAUGUAGCAUCAAAUGUAAAGUAUAUUUGGAGUUAAAUAACUAUUUAAGAUUAUUAUUAUAUUUACCGUGGAAAAGAGUCGAGGAUAGCAUCAUAAAUAUAAUUCUCUAUCGUAUCAUAAUAUUACCAUUCUUUCGGUGACAACAACAAAAAAAUGUUUGAAAAGAAUUUUAAAUACGUACGCGCAUUUCUCUCAUAAGCUACAUUAAAUUUCGAAGCUUAUUUAAGACUAUUUAACGAGUGACGUUUGGCUCUGAAUACGGUAAAGUCAGUUUAACGUGAAAUGCAGUAUACACGAAAUAAAUACAUUGUACGGAUAAUAUAGAUGAUUUCGCGGGAGAGGGAGAGAGAAAGAGAAACAAAGAGAAGAAAUUGAAAGAUAACGCAUAAACGAUGCGAGAAAAGAGUGUGAAAAAACGUACGGGAGAGGACAUGUCUUUCUAGAAACACCACUAGUACAUCACAUAUCAUGUACGGCAUAUCAGACGAGCCACUAGUCUGUAUGUAGGACUAGAUGUAGACGUAGCCAGCCAUGUGUUCCCGGAGCGCCAGAUAGUUUUUAGUGAAAACUAAUCAACUCAAGCAGAUUCGGGAUAGAUGUGAACUCAAAUGUGGUGGUGUACUAGAUAAAUAAUAUGUGAAUACAAACAAUUACACAAUGACGCUUGUUUUUAGUGAAUCUAAAUGUAUGUAUGUGGUUAAGUGAUUAAAGAGAUUAAUAAGUACUGUAAAAAAUGAAGCGAUGCGCGAUCUAUGAACUUCAUUUAAUCAACUUACGAGAAUGAUUUAAAAUGUUACGAGAGAGAACAAGUAUAUAAAUAUACUAUAUAUGCUUAUGGAAGACGUUUCCAAACUUUGUAUAUAAUUUUAGAACAGUUCAAGUACUAUAAAUACCGAUCUCCGAAACGGUCGGCUAAAAGACAUUUUAUCGUUGUCAAAUUUUUAGUCAAAAAUGUCACGGUCAGAGCAUAUAUAUAUAUAUAUAUAUAUAUAUAUAUAUAUAUAUAUAUAUAAUUUAAUGUAAAUAAUGUAAUAACUAUAUGAAAUUGUGGAUGUGAUAUAUAUGUGUGCGCAGGUUUGAAUGGAUAAUGACGAUGUUUGCGUUAUAUUCUCGUUGAUUUAUCGUUUCCCAAUAUACAAUCAUCAUUAUAAUUUUUCCGUGCUUUCUUUAUUAAUUAGAUAACUUUGAUCUGAUUUAAUUUUUUUUAAAUUAGCUUAAUUUGGAAUAAGUAUAGAGUGUACGAUGAUACAAUUUUAAUUAACAAUUUAAUUUUAAUCACAUAAUUUAUUCUUUUUUUAUAAUAACAUUUGUCUGUCACCGUACUCGCUAUGUACGUUAAUCAGCUUUUUAGGCUCUUUAAAAUGAAGCUCUGUUUAAACUUGUCUAAAAUGACAUAACCAUUAUAAUAUAAAAAUGUGAAGCAAGUGUUAUAUAGUACCACAUUUUUCAAAUAAGCAGACUGAUAAAUCGAUUCCUAUGAUAUCUAUGUUUGGCUUUUGUGAAAUUAGCAAUCUCGAGGAAACCGGGAUAUAAAGAAGUUAUAUUCAAACAAAUUAUAAAUUAGCUUUGUUUUCAAAGAAUCUUAUUUAAAAAUUUUAUUUAAUAUUACAUAAAAACCAGAGUUUUCGAAACAAAUUAAAACGAACCGCCCAUAUAACUCGUGUAAACUGAACGCGGCAUCGCGGCAAAUAUUGUUUUUCUUACUGCUUUUGUACAAAAAAAAAGAAGCAGUGAUCGCCACAUUAAAUAUUUAAGAGGCUUUGUAAAUCUCUGUAAGAAAUGCGUAAACGCUUGCCAUUAAUUUUAUAUAUCUUGAUUAUCGUACUAUGUGUUCGAUCUUUCUUCAUGCGUAUGUUAAACACUCGCGAAGAUAUAUUCAGCGAGUAUGCACAUGCACGUGAAGCGUCUGCUGUGAAUUAGUAAAUAAUUACAUUUGUGCCCUGAAAGAGAAAUAGAAAGAAAGAGAGAGAGCGAAAGAGAAAUUGAGAGAUUGCGAGAGUCAUAGAGAGUAAAAGAGAGAGAGAGAGAGAAAGAAUUAUUUUCUGUCAAGCAUUUAAGGUAUGGUGUGUGUAAACUCCAUGUACAAGACAAACGUUUCAACUUAAUUAUGAGAAGAAAUUGGAAAGAACGAAAAGGAAUAUCUGUGCGAAGAGAAGCGAGUUUUCAAUAUUUUUAAAGCAGCAUAUUUCGUUUUGCGUCGGUAUUUAUAUUGCAUUUGCUUUUGCAAAUUAAUAUGUUAAACAUUAAACAAUACUAAAUCGGAAAGAUUGCUGCGCAAAUUUUCUCUAUGUAUAUCUUAUUAAUUUUUCACAUAGUGAUCUUUCUUUAUGUAACUUGCUUUGAAAUUAUCAAUUAUUAUAAUUGUAUGGAAGGUACUCCUUGGAUAUUACUGACAAAACUUUGAUAAAUGGAAAUGCAGUAGCUUCAAGCGACUAUAUUACGUAUAUUUUUGUAAGUCUCCGAUUUACCGAUAACACACAUAAUUCGCUCGAAAUAUAGGUUUGAACGCAGAGAAUUUUUAUUCGGAAUGAUUCAUGUCACAUUUCUUGAGUGAUUAAAGUCAUAAGAUUAACUGACUGCAAUGUCAACGUCUCUUAUCACAAUUCUUAUAAUAAUUGACCAAGUAUAAUAUCUUGCUUUACAACUUGAAACGAUUGUCUCAUUCACACUCGCAUUUUCGCUCUUCGAUACUGUACGACUAUUUCUACGCGAUCCACAAUGCGCGUUUUUUGAAUUAAGACCGGAUAAUGUAAGCGCGAUGUUUGAUACGCGUGCUGAGAUUAUAUCGAAUUGCCAUCGAAAUACAUGCAUCCGUCGUUAAGCGAGGUACAACGUAAGAUUUAGCUUAGAGUUUGAGAAGGAUGAAAGAAGUAUCAUUGAUUUACAGACGAAUCAUGCAGGUGCGUCAUCGAUAAUCCGAAUGUUCACGAAUAUAAAUUCUAGAUAACGUAAUUUUUCUCGCAACUCGGCAGAUCGAUCGAGAGUUUUAGGGAAUGAAAGAAUUAUAUAGAGGAGCGGUGGUAUCUUAUCAUAUCUAUAACAUGCUUAAAAUAGAGACAUACGGCAAGAGAAAGAAGCUUUUUUACUCGUGAAAAAACAAAGACAAAAAGUAGGGUUCUGAUCUGAAGAAAUGUAUAUGUAAAGUAUCGUAAAAAAAAAAAUAUUACUAUAUAAGCUCAUUUCUAAGUACAUAUUUUGCGAAUGCACGGAUUUAUCAAGAUUGUGGGACAAUGAUGACGUAAUACACAAAUAUAAUUCUGUAAUAGUUAAUUGAUAAAAUAUACAAGACUACUAUUAUCACUACUAACAUAACUCUUCAGUUUGUAAUGCGCCGUUUAUACAGAGACGGCUGUAAGAUUCUUCGCGAAAUUAAUUCGACGCUCUUGUCUCUUCGUAAGCUGUUUCUUAUGCCCAAUCUUGCGUUUUUGAUUAAUAAAAUGAUCAAUAAAUUUCAAAGUAAAUAUUACAGAUAACUAUUGCAGAUUAAAUAAAUUUUGCUUUUAGAGUUGAGAGAAAUUAUAACAUUUUUGUAUAAUAUGAAAAAUUGAUAAAGACUGCACAUUUAUGCAAGCGAUUGAGUGAAACCAUGUAAUUGAUUACGUGUUUACGCAUGCAUUGCAGUAGAAUAUAAUGAUAAGAUAUGUGAUACAUUUUCCGAAUCAGUAAAAAUCUCACGGGCAUUUACAGGUCAUAAAAAUUUAAGAGACUAACGAAAGUAACGUAAUUGGUCUUUGCGUCGCAAAUAUUCUUUACAGUAAUAAUAUCAAAUAAAUUUGUACAUUUAUGAUCAUAUCGAUUUGGACGACGAGGAUGUUGAUUUGCCAAAAGAAACAGCUCGAAGAAAUACACGUCGAUUUCUAUUCUUGCCAUGCCCAUCUGUAUAUAGGCAUGCUCAAUUCUAGGAUCGGACACGCGUACCGUGAAAAUCACAUAUACAUAAUAUUAAACUACGAAACACAAAUUAUUAUUCGACUUUGUACCUAUAUAUAUUAUUAAUUAACUCAAUGAAAAAGUACGGGGUGAAACCCCGAAUAUAUCGAUAUGAAUAGUAGAAGCUAACAAAGAUUGGAACAUGAAAAAAAGAAAAAAUCGUGAGAGAACACAAGAUCUAGCAAAAAAGAACAUAAUAAAAGUGAAAGAACAUUAAUUACCGAUGAAAAUGCCUGAGAGCCAAGGGGUACCACUUUUGUCAAAUUUAGAGAGCCAAUUUAGGUUUACAAUAAAAUACAAUAGGGUGUGUAUAUAUAUGUAUGUGUCGGACGUAUAAGCGAGAUUGAAGAGAAAAUGUGAGAGUGAAAGUGUGUAUGAAAAUGCGAAAAGGGACAGUGGAAUUGUCGUAAACGAGACCGCGAGCUGAGAAAUGAAUGAUCAACUAUUCUCAUAGAAAGAAGUCCAUCACGUAGCUUAGGUGAUUCUGUAAUUCUUGUAUCAUGAGCUCACGAACGACUCGUAUUUCCGAUCCGUAUAUUUUGGACAAAUCUUGAAAAACCUUAUGGUCAGAUUGUGUGUCAUUAUUUUGAAAAGUGCGUUGUUACGCACACGCAUUAAUUAUCGGGCAUUCUGAUUAAAUUCUUUUCAAAUGCAUGAUUUCUAGUUGAAGUAACGAAUUGUUUUUCUUUAAUAUCAAUCGAUAUUUUUUAGAACGAGUAUGAGUCGGUCGUAAGAUAAUGCGCGCGUGCGUUUUACUAUUAAAUAAAAAAAGAGAAAAAGACGCUAAAGACGCAAGCGAGCGCGACGGGACUCGUACAUUUCUAUAAUUUUAUCAUACGUGUUUGAAUUUAUUUCUCUAAAAAAUACGACAGGGAGUGAGAAAGAGAGAGAGAGAGGGAGGGAGGGAGGGAGAGUGUGUGUGAGAGAGAAAGAGAGAGAGAGAGAAACGCAGAACGAAAAAUAGAGAGAAUGAGAGAGAAAGAGAAAAAGAAAGAGAACGUGUUUAAAAAACGAAAGAGCGGGCGUUAAAGAAGAUGUAUCAUUUUUCGUUGAACAAAAGAAAGACAAAAAGCAUAAAUUACGAAAGGACGAAAGAAUUUAAGCAGUAUGUUUAGACGACAUUUCGGUGAAAUCUCGGCUGAGAACUCCGUGAACCUUUGUUCCACUCUCGCUUUCGAAAACAUCGAAGAAAUCCGAUUUGAUUCGAAGUAAACAUUGCACAAUAUAAAUGUUAUAUUUUUAUUUUUUAUUUUUUUUAACUAUAAUAUCCAUUUUUUCUCCACACUGCGUGCGAUCAACCGCUGAUUGCUCUAAAAGCUGUCGCUUCAUUCACGGAGUUCGCGGUUGGAGAUUGCGAGAUGAUUUAAGUAUAAAACGUUAGUGACUGUAUCCAGUAUCAUAUAUCUGAUAAAAGAUACCCCCGAUGCCAGAGAUGGCGUGUGACAAUAAAGUGAUUCAAUGAUUU